rnacentral:rRNA from 1 species
CCAGAGCUUGCUCUGGUGAGAGUGGCGCACGGGUGAGUAACGCGUGGAUAACCUGCCCUGGUAUCUGGAAUAACAUCUCGAAAGGGGUGCUAAUACCGGAUAAGCCUACGGAGCCUUCGGUCUCUGCAGGAAAAGGUGGCCUCUAUUUAUAAGCUACCGUAUCAGGAUGGGUCCGCGUACCAUUAGCUAGUUGGUAGGGUAAUGGCCUACCAAGGCUACGAUGGUUAGCUGGUCUGAGAGGAUGAUCAGCCACACUGGAACUGAGACACGGUCCAGACUCCUACGGGAGGCAGCAGUGGGGAAUUUUGCGCAAUGGGGGAAACCCUGACGCAGCAACGCCGCGUGAGUGAUGAAGGCUUUCGGGUCGUAAAGCUCUGUCAGUAGGGAAGAAAUGAGACGUGCUAAUACCACGUUUUCUUGACGGUACCUACAAAGGAAGCACCGGCUAACUCCGUGCCAGCAGCCGCGGUAAUACAAGGG